AGAUAAGCCGUUUGAACUCGUUCUAGAAGCUAUUGAUAAUGCAACUUUUCACUUUUCAUUUAAAGUGGAAAUUUGUUUAUUCAUUUGUGUCAGGAUUUCCUGUAGAAAUUGCUGUUACGUCGUGGCUUAUUCGCUAGCAUACGUGCAAGCAACGUAGUGCGUAAUUUUUUAGCGCUUUAGAUAAGCGGCGAGAUCUUUUGAAUUUACCGCCGACGCAAGUUUAUCGCACGAAGUGUCUUUUAAACUUUUUUGUUCAAUUCGCUGCCUCAAAGUCUGUGUCGCGAAUGUGUCGCAAUGCAUUCACUGAUUACAUUUUCCCUUCAAUAUUUUAUCAACAGUUCAUACAAACAUAUAUUGGUGUGAUCCACAGAGCAAUUAAUCGGCGGUUUAACAUUUCCUGCUUAAGAUGUACCACUAUCAUAUGUCAGAGAGCUUCCAAAAUUGUCGAGGUCUUACCGACCUGGUCGGGGCAUAGACUUCUUGAAUUCUUCAUGCAACAUCUACGGCGGCGAUGUGGAACUUAUCAGAGAAUUUUGCCGCCGCAGCCGAGUUUUUAAAUGUGCGUCUACCACACGGUACGGCCCUAGUUCGCCCCUAAAUGGGUAUGCAGCUAUAAUCUCCGAAUCGUUAAUGAAAAAUUUCUGCUGCUUCGAAUGGAAGACCACGGUUCAUACUACCGCCAUGGAAGUCAUGCGAUAAAAGGCGAAGGUAAGAAAAGCAAUACAAAAUCUGUGUUGGAUUUGAGAAAGGAUUGUGACUUUUUAAGAUAUCGAAAAUCCCGGGAUUCUUGCAAGUAAUCCCGGGAUUUUCGGGAUUUGUAAUUUGCACUGAUGGCUAUAAUAGAAACUGCUUUUCUUGUCCAGUAUUGGCUAUGUUUCUUUAUUUAUUUAAUAAUUAAUAUUUUUUAUAAAUUUCUAGCUCAUAUAUAACGU